rnacentral:rRNA from 1 species
AUUGAACGCUGGCGGCAGGCCUAACACAUGCAAGUCGAGCGGAUGAAGGGAGCUUGCUCCUGCAUUCAGCGGCGGACGGGUGAGUAAUGCCUAGGAAUCUGCCUGCUAGUGGGGGAUAACGUCCGGAAACGGGCGCUAAUACCGCAUACGUCCUGAGGGAGAAAGUGGGGGAUCUUCGGACUUCACGCUAUCAGAUGAGCCUAGGUCGGAUUAGCUAGUUGGUGGGGUAAAGGCCUACCAAGGCGACGAUCGGUAACUGGUCUGAGGGGAUGAUCAGUCACACGGGAACUGAGACACGGUCCAGACUCCUACGGGAGGCAGCAGUGGGGAAUAUUGGACAAAGGGCGGAAACCUGAUCCAGCCAUGCCGCGUGUGUGAAGAAGGUCUUCGGAUUGGAAAGCACUUUAAGUUGGGAGGAAGGGCAGUAAGUUAAUACCUUGCUGUUUUGACGUUACCAACAGAAUAAGCACCGGCUAACUUCGUG